rnacentral:rRNA from 1 species
AUUGAACGCUGGCGGCAGGCCUAACACAUGCAAGUCGAACGGUAACAGGAAGCAGCUUGCUUCUUUGCUGACGAGUGGCGGACGGGUGAGUAAUGUCUGGGAAACUGCCUGAUGGAGGGGGAUAACUACUGGAAACGGUAGCUAAUACCGCAUAACGUCGCAAGACCAAAGAGGGGGACCUUCGGGCCUCUUGCCAUCGGAUGUGCCCAGAUGGGAUUAGCUAGUAGGUGGGGUAACGGCUCACCUAGGCGACGAUCCCUAGCUGGUCUGAGAGGAUGACCAGCCACACUGGAACUGAGACACGGUCCAGACUCCUACGGGAGGCAGCAGUGGGGAAUAUUGCACAAUGGGCGCAAGCCUGAUGCAGCCAUGCCGCGUGUAUGAAGAAGGCCUUCGGGUUGUAAAGUACUUUCAGCGGGGAGGAAGGGAGUAAAGUUAAUACCUUUGCUCAUUGACGUUACCCGCAGAAGAAGCACCGGCUAACUCCGUGCCAGCAGCCGCGGUAAUACGGAGGGUGCAAGCGUUAAUCGGAAUUACUGGGCGUAAAGCGCACGCAGGCGGUUUGUUAAGUCAGAUGUGAAAUCCCCGGGCUCAACCUGGGAACUGCAUCUGAUACUGGCAAGCUUGAGUCUCGUAGAGGGGGGUAGAAUUCCAGGUGUAGCGGUGAAAUGCGUAGAGAUCUGGAGGAAUACCGGUGGCGAAGGCGGCCCCCUGGACGAA